rnacentral:rRNA from 1 species
CCUGAUGCAGCCCUGCCGCGUGUGUGAAGAAGGCCUUCGGGUUGUAAAGCACUUUAAUUUGGGAAGAACGGCAUUUUGAUAAUAUCCUUUUGUUUGACGUUACCAAUACAAAAAGCCCCGGCUAACUACGUGCCAGCACCCGCGGUAAUACAA